rnacentral:rRNA from 1 species
GUGGGGAAUCUUGCGCAAUGGGCGAAAGCCUGACGCAGCCAUGCCGCGUGAAUGAUGAAGGUCUUAGGAUUGUAAAAUUCUUUCACCGGGGACGAUAAUGACGGUACCCGGAGAAGAAGCUCCGGCUAACUUCGUGCCAGCAGCCGCGGUAAUACGAAGGGGGCUAGCGUUGCUCGGAAUUACUGGGCGUAAAGGGCGCGUAGGCGGACAGCUUAGUCAGAGGUGAAAGCCCAGGGCUCAACCUUGGAAUUGCCUUUGAUACUGGCUGUCUUGAGUUUGGGAGAGGUGAGUGGAACUCCGAGUGUAGAGGUGAAAGUCGUAGAUAUUCGGAAGAACACCAGUGGCGAAGGCGACUCACUGGCCCAAUACUGACGCUGAGGCGCGAAAGCGUGGGGAGCAAACAGGAUUAGAAACCCGAGUAGUCC